CUGAGAUGAUAUUAGACAAAAGAAUAGCGUGAAAAUGCAGCAACGCUUACAAGUAUAUCUUGACCUAUCCAAGCAAAGGAGAUGUGACGGUAAACUGCCCACAGAACUGCAAAGGCUAUGCAGAAUGGAGAAAUCGCCAGCGUCAGAUAUGAAACAGGUCCCAGAAAAGGAAUUUUAAUGUAUGACUGUCCAAAACGUUCAAACCAUCUGAAACAUGAUAGCAAAGCGACCAAACAAGUUUGUAGACCCUCAACACCCCCAAUGGCGAAUAGAACCACUAGAACCUCUAUAAACCAGGAGGACAUCAAUUUGAAAAGCAUAAUCAAGAAGCAGGAUGCAACCACCACAAACAGAACUGCUGAUAUUAUGUUGAUUUCAAGCACAACACCGGAACGAAACCCCUCUGUGACAUUGCAUUCAUUUGAGCCAUCUUUUAAGAGCUUGUCCUGCUCAAUUGCAGCUUCUCUGGCACGCCAUGCAGACCAAUAAGAAGCACAUAAUAUGGUAGCAACUGCCAUAAGCCAUAAAAAGACUUCAGCUACAUCGACCAUUGGGCGCUUUGGAGAGUACAGCUGUACAGAAACAGAAGAGCUAUUUCCAAGAAACUUUAUCAGGCUUGUGCCAGCAUGUUGUGGGAGCAUGAUAGCAGGGAUGCCAAUGUCCAAGUCAGGUUCAUGGGGUUCACAAACCAUCUUGAAGAGCUCUGUUUGGUUGUUUAUUAUGAGGAUAGCUGAAGCACCGGCAUCUUCUGCAACGUUAGCUUUGGUAGUGAAACUGCAAUUACCUCGGUGCACCAGGAUGGCCUCACCAGUGAGCUUAUUCCUAGGUGUGCUACAACAAUCCGGAGGGUCUGCAAAAGCCAGUCUUGUCUGAUUAGCACGCUUCUCCUUUGAUUCCAAUGUUGGUCCAAAUCGAGCACCAACACCAACAAACUCUGUUACUUCUAUACCGUCAACCCAGAUCGGAACUUUGACCAGAACAAAAUUGUUGUUACAACCAGGUCUACUUGGAGCAAUAUCAUCUUGGUGAACUAUAUCACCCCCACUAACUAAACCAGUACACAGCACAACUACAACAACAAAAACAGCAAAAAUUGAACAAUCCAAUUUCUUCAACUCCAUGAAAUUCAACAACCCUAAAAUAAUUAUUAAAAAAAAAACUCCUUUUUU
rnacentral:misc_RNA from 1 species